rnacentral:lncRNA from 1 species
GUGUGUUAGUGGUGCAUUAGAGAUGACUCAGAAAUAAACCCUGGUUGAUAGUCUUGUUCUGCUGAAAUUUAUUUGUAUCACUUUAUUGUUUUAUUUAAUCGAGAGAAUGUGUGUAUGAUAGGGAUGAUAUCACGAAAGUUGGCGCAAUAGUAGAUUUUUUUUCUCAUAGUGUAACAUAUAAAUUUUAUUCAUUAUAAGGUGUAUCUAACCAUUAGCAGGCUCAUUAGCAGGAGUAGGGACUCCACUGAAUCUAAUCUCGUACUGUAUAUCAAUCACUUUUUAGCAAGCACACUAAAAUUCAGUAAAUGAUAAUAUGCUAUAUUUAAUAAGAUUUCGCCACAUCAUAUUUAUGUUGAAGUUAAAGAGUAACUAGCAUUUGGUCAUAUGUAUGUGUAUUUACAUGUCUGUGAAACAUGAGAAAUUAAUAGAUUGAUGAU